rnacentral:rRNA from 1 species
GAUGAACGCUAGCUACAGGCUUAACACAUGCAAGUCGAGGGGCAGCGCAGUGUAGCAAUACAUGGGCGGCGACCGGCGCACGGGUGCGUAACGCGUAUCCAAUCUUCCCGUUACUCAGGGAUAGCCUUCCGAAAGGGAGAUUAAUACCUGAUGGUGUUGAAAUUCCGCAUGUUAUUUCAACUAAAGAUUUAUCGGUAACGGAUGGGGAUGCGUGACAUUAGAUAGUAGGCGGGGUAACGGCCCACCUAGUCUACGAUGUCUAGGGGUUCUGAGAGGAAGGUCCCCCCANACUGGAACUGAGACACGGUCCAGACUCCUACGGGAGGCAGCAGUGAGGAAUAUUGGUCAAUGGUCGGAAGACUGAACCAGCCAUGCCGCGUGAAGGUCACGGCCCUAUGGGGUCUUAAACUUCUUUUGUAAGGGAGCAAUAAGUCUCACGUGUGGGAUGAUGAGAGUACCUUACGAAUAAGCAUCGGCUAACUCCGUGCCAGCAGCCGA